rnacentral:rRNA from 1 species
CAGCAGCCGCGGUAAUACGUAGGUGGCAAGCGUUGUCCGGAAUUAUUGGGCGUAAAGGGCUCGCAGGCGGUUUCUUAAGUCUGAUGUGAAGGCCCCCGGCUCAACCGGGGAGGGUCAUUGGAAACUGGGAAACUUGAGUGCAGAAGAGGAGAGUGGGAUUCCACGUGUAGCGGUGAAAUGCGUAGAGAUGUGGAGGAACACCAGUGGCGAAGGCGACUCUCUGGUCUGUAACUGACGCUGAGGAGCGAAAGCGUGGGGAGCGAACAGGAUUAGAUACCCCCGUAGUCCCUGUCUCUUAUAC